rnacentral:rRNA from 1 species
CGCGCAGGCGGCCGUUUAAGUCAGAUGUGAAAUCCCGGGGCUUAACCCCGGAAGUGCAUUUGAUACUGGAUGGCUUGAGUAUGGGAGAGGGAAGUGGAAUUCCUGGUGUAGAGGUGAAAUUCGUAGAUAUCAGGAGGAACACCGGUGGCGAAGGCGACUUCCUGGACCAAUACUGACGCUGAGGCGCGAAGGCGUGGGGAGCAAACA